UGGGGAAUCUUGCACAAUGGGGGAAACCCUGAUGCAGCGACGCCGCGUGAGCGAUGAAGCCCUUCGGGGUGUAAAGCUCUUUCGGCAGGAACGAUAAUGACGGUACCUGCAGAAGAAGCUGCGGCUAACUACGUGCCAGCAGCCGCGGUAAUACGUAGGCAGCAAGCGUUGUUCGGAGUUACUGGGCGUAAAGAGUGCGUAGGUGGUUCUCUAAGUUCGGUGUGAAAUCUCCCGGCUCAACUGGGAGGGUGCGCCGAAAACUGGAGGGCUGGAGUGCGGGAGAGGAGAGCGGAAUUCCUGGUGUAGCGGUGAAAUGCGUAGAUAUCAGGAGGAACACCUGUGGUGCAGACGGCUCUCUGGACCGCAACUGACACUGAGGCACGAAAGCGUGGGGAGCAAACA
rnacentral:rRNA from 1 species